rnacentral:lncRNA from 1 species
UGUACAUUAUUAUGUAAUACAGGUGAGCAUUUCGGUGAGAGGUGUUCAAGUAGGACCAAGGUCAGUAGAAGAUGGAGAAGACAGAGGUUCAUGAGAAGGAACGCACUUGCCAAUCAGGAAGUGAGGGGCUUAUUGCAGCUGUCCAAAGGUCUGAUCAAGUCCUCAACAAUGGCUCCGAACUGCUGUUUACCGGGUAAUUGGAUGCAUCGCCGAUCAAAGACAUCAGAUUCAUGUUGGACAUCGCUCGCACCCGGAUUGUCUCGCUUGUUGAAGUUUGUCUUGCAGGGUUGACAUUUGAUAUGUAAUCUUUCAAAUUUGAAAUGUAAUCUUUGCCUUGAAUAAUAAUAUUUUGCAUAAAACGUGCAUCAAAUUAAUUGUUGCAACAUUUAAUUGUUGAUCAGAGAAAAAGAAAGAAAUGGUUGGCGUCGACCCUGCAUAUUGCUGGUUAUAUAUUAUAAAUUUUUCUAAAUCGUAGUACUGUACUCUAUCCGCUCAUAUUGUUUCAAGGUAUUUUAUUUAUUGUAUAUAUUUAUUAUUGUGUCAGGAGGAGGCACCCCUCAGUUCUCAAACAAAAAUACGCCACUUUUUGGAGUUCACUCGUAACAAACUAAUUUUAAUGCAAAAAGUAUUUUGCUGAAGAGAUGGAUGAAAACAAAAAUUAUAGUUAUCAAUUAUUAUAAUUAUAAGGCGAUUUUUAGGUAGAGUACUGUGCCAGCACUAUUGAUUUUCUAGUUGUAGGUAAUUUUUUCUGUGGGCAAAUCUUCAGUUAGCCACUUAGCUGCGCAUUUGAAGAUAUUUUAAAUAUUUGUUUUGAAUUGAAUUGAAUUCUGAGAAAUUCCGAGAAGAAAAAUAUCUCAACUUUAUUUUAUGAAACUUUUGAGAGACUAACGGCUACAUAUAUUGACCGUUAAGUUUGAGAAGAGAACAAGUUGUUAAUUUAAAAUAACUUACAAACUGUUCUUCAAGUUAUAAUGCUUUGGAAAUCACAGCGUUAUGAAAAUGAUAAAAUUUGUCCACGUGAUUGCAGAAUUGCCCAUGUAUAAGAAACGAUCCUUUUUUAGUGUAGAUAUAGGUUUGUGACGCAUGUUAAGAAUGAACUUAAUUUGGUUUUGGUGUUUUGAUAUUGUGUCUGGUCAGUGACAGAUACACAUUUACUGUGCUGGGAGGGUUUAAAACGUUAAGAAAAUGAAACCAGGAGAGGAAUAGAUUUUCACGAAAUUACUGCGCAUUCGUUAUUGCAGUAGGGGAAUAUAUGUUACCCACGUGAUACAAAUUGUCCCUUCGUAGGGCCACCAAAAUUUAUCAGUGUUUUAUUAAUCAAUAUUUCUUUGGUUGUGAUGAAGGGGUCAUUGAGAGGAAAAGGUCUGAUUAGAUGCCAGUCCAGCACGUCCUGUUGGGGUAUUUUUUGCUAAGUGUUUCUUGAUCACUGAGCACCGGAGACCAGAGUAAGGGUAUUAGCAUUUACGAAUUAAUGAAUCUUAAGUCACCGUUUUUUCGUAAUCUUUUCAGUUUUUUUUGUAUAUUUUUCUUAAAUUGUUAUGACCAGAAUAAGCUUGUAAAUUAACCAUGUUUUUUAUGCCGUUCCUGAUUCGCAUGUGUGCAAAUUUUAGUUUUCGCUCAAAGUCGUGUCACAAAUCUACCAAUAUUAGGAUAAAAUGAAAUGAAAACAAAAUGAUGUAAAACACUCGAUUCUUAAAAAUGACUAUUUUUGUCUACCUUUUUCUGUGCGAGAAUCGGCACGACGGCAUAGAACAAGGUGUGCGUGAGUGCGAGUGCACGUGAGGGGACGACGCCCAUGUGAGAUUACAUGCGUUUUGGAAUUUUGAUUUCGUUCACACCACUUAAAUUGAACACUGCUCCUCGAUGGAAUUAGUAAUCAACUAUUAAAGUCAACUUCGAACAAAAGUUGAUAAGUAUGAUAUGGUUGGACUUUCAAUUUAUCUACCAGUUCUGGUCAAUUUUUUAAAUGAAUUUUGUUUUGGUAAGCAUUAUGUCGAAAUCUCUUUUAUAUAAAUAAAAAGAAUUCGUUGAUUCAGCAGCAAUUUCCAAAGUGCAUAAAAUACUUUUUAUGUAUGUAGUAGACUUCUUGUAUUUUUUUGUUAAAGCAUAAUUUAUAGAUUUUUUUUUUAGAAAUUUGACGCUUUUAUAAAG